GGAGUUGUAGCUCAGUGGUAGAGCGUUUGCCCAGUAGGUAUGAGGCACUGGGUUGGAUCCUCAGCACCA
rnacentral:tRNA from 1 species